AGAAUCAACGCUGGCGGCGUGCCUAACACACGCAAGUCGAACGAGAAAGGGACUUCGGUCCUGAGUACAGUGGCGCACGGGUGAGUAACACGUGACUAACCUACCCUGGAGUGGGGAAUAACUGAGGGAAACCUUAGCUAAUACCGCAUAAUACCUACGGGUCAAAGGAGCAAUUCGCUUCAGGAGGGGGUCGCGGCCGAUUAGCUAGUUGGCGGGGUAAUGGCCCACCAAGGCAAUGAUCGGUAU
rnacentral:rRNA from 1 species